rnacentral:tRNA from 1 species
GGGGCUGUGGCGCAGAUUGGGAGCGCGCUUGACUGGCAGUCAAGAGGUCACGGGUUCAAAUCCCGUCAGCUCCACCA